UACGGAUGAUGCAAGCGUUAUCCGGAUUUAUUGGGUUUAAAGGGUGUGCAGGUUGUUUGAUAAGUCAGUGGUGAAAGUCUGUCGCUUAACGGUAUGAUUGCCAUUGAUACUGUUAGACUUGAAUAUGGAUGAGGUAGGCGGAAUGUGUAGUGUAGCGGUGAAAUGCAUAGAUAUUACACAGAACACCGAUUGCGAAGGCAGCUUACUAAACUACUACUGACGCUCAGGCACGAAGGCGUGGGGAUCAAACA
rnacentral:rRNA from 1 species